CUGACCCAGGACCUUCCAGAGGCCUGUUAGGAGGCUGUUGUCUGCGCCGUCCAAGAAGCAUCAAAUCACAAACCCCUUAACCUUGAGUUGGUGCGAGCACACCCAGGCCUUUGCACCGGGAUGAGGCGGCAGAAUCAGAAAGCUGAUCCAUUGUAAACUGGGAACCAGAGUCUGCACACAGAAAGCAAGAAGUAUCAUUCAUUCUGGAUGAACUGGAUGAAAAGCUGGAUGAACUAUGAGGCGUGAUGGAAAACCUGACAACUCAACCCACUCAAGACCUGUCAAGGAUAUGCAGGAGCUUUUGUUCCCAAGGAAAAGAGGCAACAGCUCCACCCUGGGGUCCCAGGCACACUUGGCCUGCCUGACACUGAGUGAGACUGGACCAGGACCACAGAGAUUUCUGCUUCUCCCUCGGGGACAGCAAUGUGAAGUCAUGAGCAGCAACAGUCUACAACAAAGUUGGUAAGAGCAGGGACUGGUGCAGAAGCACCAGGAAAGUCAAGCUGAAGAUGGAGAGGAGACUUGAGGAAAACUUUCUAGCACUCGAGCACCUGCCUAUGCACAAUAUAGCAUCAGAGAAAGCUGGGGCCAGUCGUGCUCUGAAGUGAAACAGAGCAACAAUAAAACCCAGAUCCAACUCAGCUACUUCUCAGAUUGAGCCAACUUUCCAAAUCAAGUACCU